GCGAGAUUACAGAAGAGGGUUCUUCUAGGACAGUAUGCCCUUUGCCUUUUUGUACUGGAGGAACAUGAGGAGCUAGAAAGAGGGUCGUGCU
rnacentral:pre_miRNA from 10 species